UCCAUAGAUGAAAUCUGCCAAGGUAUUAUCCUUAAUCAGUGGUGGAUACUAUCCACAAUCACCUGUUUAACUAAACUGAAAUAUAUGAACUCUGAUAUUUCAAAAGUAAUCAACAAAGAAGGAAUUUUACAUGGUGACAAAAUCUGCCUGCAUCCCAGUUUUAAUACACGUGAUGGAAAAUAUUCAGUCAAAGGAAUCAUAGGAAUGAUCUUCUUGGAGGUCCCAAUUAAGAUUAAAGAAAUUUUACUUCCUCAAUAUCACAACAUCCUUAGGAAAAGUUGUUUUCCAUGUGUUUACCAACGUUGUAGCGUAUACCAGUACCAGAAACACACUAAAUUUGAGAACAAUGUGAAACAAUUAUCAGUAAAAUUUCUGGACAUUUCAUUCUGUCACAAUCAACAUAAUCACAUGCCCAAAAGUAAUAACCUAUGUAUUUGGACUCAUCAAAAAGAAGAUUGCUGGAUACAGCAAGGUAGCCCUGUCCUUUGUACCUUUGGCAGUCAUUGGGAAUUGGUAGGACUCAUC